UGUCAAAAAUUCCCCAAUCCUGUUUCUGACGCCUCAUAUGAGAGCUGCAUGUGCAGGCUUACUGUUAUUUUGCGAGCCUGAGGCUU
ensembl:snoRNA